CAGUCGCCGCGGGAAUACGGAGGGUGCAAGCGUUAAUCGGAAUUACUGGGCGUAAAGCGCGCGUAGGUGGUUUGUUAAGUUGGAUGUGAAAUCCCCGGGCUCAACCUGGGAACUGCAUCCAAAACUGGCAAGCUAGAGUAUGGUAGAGGGUGGUGGAAUUUCCUGUGUAGCGGUGAAAUGCGUAGAUAUAGGAAGGAACACCAGUGGCGAAGGCGACCACCUGGACUGAUACUGACACUGAGGUGCGAAAGCGUGGGGAGCAAACAGGAUUAGAGACCCCCGAAGUCCCUGUCUCUUAUAC
rnacentral:rRNA from 1 species